CGGGGUGCAGCAGGCGCGAAACCUUUGCAAUACACGAAAGUGUGACAGGGUCAUCCCGAGUGCCGACCGCUGAGGUUGGCUUUUACCCAGUCUAGAAAGCUGGGGGAAUAAGGAGAGGGCAAGUCUGGUGUCAGCCGCCGCGGUAAUACCAGCUCUCCGAGUGGUGUGGACGUUUAUUGGGCCUAAAGCAUCCGUAGCUGGCUGAACAAGUCCCCUGUUAAACCCACCGAUUUAAUCGUUGGCUUGCGGGGGAUACUGCUCGGCUAGGGGACGAGAGAGGCAGACGGUAUUCCCGGGGUAGGGGUGAAAUCCUAUAAUCCCGAGAAGACCACCAGUGGCGAAGGCUGUCUGCUAGAACGCGCCCGACGGUGAGGGAUGAAAGCUGGGGGAGCGAACCGGAUUAGAUACCCGGGUAGUCCCAGCUGUAAACGAUGCAGACUAGGUGUUUGGACGGCCACGUGCCGUUCUAGUGCCGCAGGGAAGCUGUUAAGUCUGCCGCCUGGGGAGUACGAUCGCAAGAUUGAAACUUAAAGGAAUUGGCGGGGGAGCAC
rnacentral:rRNA from 1 species